rnacentral:tRNA from 1 species
CGCGGGGUGGAGCAGUGGUAGCUUGUCGGGCUCAUAACCCGAAGGUCGCAGGUUCGAAUCCUGCCCCCGCCACUA